rnacentral:rRNA from 1 species
AGUAACGCGUGGGUAACCUGCCCUUAAGUCUGGGAUACCAUUUGGAAACAGAUGCUAAUACCGGAUAAAAGCUACUUUCGCAUGAAAGAAGUUUAAAAGGCGGCGUAAGCUGUCGCUAAAGGAUGGACCUGCGAUGCAUUAGCUAGUUUGUAAGGUAACGGCUUACCAAGGCGAUGAUGCAUAGCCGAGUUGAGAGACUGAUCGGCCACAUUGGGACUGAGACACGGCCCAAACUCCUACGGGAGGCAGCAGCU